GUGUUGGUAGUUUAGUGGUAACCAUAGUUGCCUUCCAAGCAGUUGACUUGGGUUUGAUUCCUGGCCAAUGCA
rnacentral:tRNA from 1 species